AGAGCGAACGCUGGCGGCAGGCCUAAUACAUGCAAGUCGAGCGGGUGUAGCAAUACACCAGCGGCAGGCGGGAGAGUAACACGUGGGAACGUGCCCUUCAGUUCGGAACAACCCAGGGAAACUUGGGCUAAUACCGGAUACGUCCGUAAGGAGAAAGAUUUAUCGCUGAAGGAUCGGCCCGCGUCUGAUUAGCUUGUUGGUGGGGUAAUGGCUCACCAAGGCGACGAUCAGUAGCUGGUCUGAGAGGAUGAUCAGCCUCACUGGGACUGAGACACGGCCCAGACUCCUACGGGAGGCAGCAGUAGGGAAUAUUGGACAAUGGGCGCAAGCCUGAUCCAGCCAUGCCGCGUGGGUGAUGAAGGCCCUAGGGUUGUAAAGCCCUUUCGGCGGGGAAGAUAAUGACGGUACCCGCAGAAGAAGCCCCGGCUAACUUCGUGCCAGCAGCCGC
rnacentral:rRNA from 1 species